rnacentral:rRNA from 1 species
UCCGUANGUGGAUAAUUAAGUCAGAGGUGAAAUCUUGCAGCUCAACUGUAAAAUUGCCUUUGAAACUGGUUAUCUUGAGUUAUUAUGAAGUAGUUAGAAUAUGUAGUGUAGCGGUGAAAUGCAUAGAUAUUACAUAGAAUACCAAUUGCGAAGGCAGAUUACUAAUAAUCAACUGACACUGAUGGACGAAAGCGUGGGUAGCGAACAGGAUUAGAUACCCUGGUAGUCCACGCCGUAAACGAUGGUUACUAGCUGUUUGGACUUCGGUCUGAGUGGCUAAGCGAAAGUGAUAAGUAACCCACCUGGGGAGUACGUUCGCAAGAAUGAAACUCAAAGGAAUUGACGGGGGCCCGCACAAGCGGUGGAGCAUGUGGUUUAAUUCGAUGA